UGAGGUUGCAGGUUCUGCAGGGGUAUUGGUCCUGUGGCAUGGGGAGGUGUGUGCUGCUGUUUCUGAUCACUGAUCAUCACGCUUUGCAUUUCAUUACAGUCUUUGCAACAGAUCUUUCUGUCAGAGAAAGCAGGAGCUUGAAAACGUUUACGUUAUGCCACUGCCUUUUAAGUUCAUAUUGUAAUGGUUUUUACUUUGGCACAAUGACAUUUCAGAUUCUUUUAUCUUAAAGCAAGAGAUACUGGAAUGAAAUCUGCGUGGGAAACCGUAUCCCAAGCCAGGCUUUCCAAGCGGAGAAGAGAUUUGAACUUGGCACAAAGUCAGAAGAUUCGCGAAGAGAGGAGCGCGUGUCUGGGGAGGGAAUGUUGCUUCCUUCCCUUUGCUUUUUUUUGGUUCAAUAAAUCUUAGCCCGUUUCUGA